rnacentral:rRNA from 1 species
CCCUUAGAUGUUCUGGGCCGCACGCGCGCUACACUGAUGCAUUCAACGAGUCUAAAACCUGGUCUGAGAGGGCUGGGUAAUCUUUUGAAAGUGCAUCGUGAUUGGGAUAGAUGAUUGCAAUUCUUCAUCUUCAACGAGGAAUGCCUAGUAAACGCAAGUCAUCAGCUUGCAUUGAUUACGUCCCUGCCCUUUGUACACACCGCCCGUCGCUCCUACCGAUUGAACGAUCCGAUGAAAACUGUGGAUUGAGAGUCUGAGUGGGUUCGCCUACCUCAACUUUCGAGACGCGGUUUAAAUCUUAUCGUUUAGAGGAAGGAGAAGUCGUAACA